GUACUUCAGUGGUCAAAGCACCAAUCCGGUGAGAAGGAAUGUGUCAAAAUGUUAACUAAAUACCUACUACUUUUGUAUAGUUUUAAGGCAAAGGGAACAUUGCACAUAUGUACAUUCAUAUCUCUGAUCGAAAAACAAAAACUGUACAGAAAGGAAAUUGUUGCAACACAAAAUAUUUGACAGAUGCCUGAAUAUUGCUAACAGCAUUUUGAAAAUAAGCCUGCUAAUUAUACAAGUUGCAAACAACAAGUUUUGGGCCGUCGAUCUACUGACUAAUUUUAUCCGUGUCGAUUACCUCAAAUAUAUUUUUAAAACUCUCAUUAUUUUAUAUGCCAUAUUAGGAUUUUGUUUUUUUUCUAAUUGUAGAGACUUAUUCAUGAAUCUAUUAUUAAAAUAAUUAUGUUUGAUUAGAGUACAUUUAGAUUAGUUUACAUUACUACUAGCUCUCACGAGCUAGCUUGUAUUUACUGAUCGUAGUUAACUAGCCCUAUAACGUACAAGCUGUGCAAAAAUGUACGAAAAUUCAGUUUGUUUUAAAAAUUCCAUUGAAGUCUCAGCAAAAUCCUAACAAAAUUAGUUUCCUGUUCGGGCAAAAGUCAUGGCUUUGUCUAAUUAUGCUGAAGAUUUGGCUCUAUGUGACAUGUUCCUUGUGAUGAUCCUGUUUCUACAUCCUAAAGAAAAAAUGUCUUGGAUUUUCAGAUUUGAAAGUUGACAUAAAGUUUGAGUUGCCUUACUCUUAUGUUCUAUGGUAUCUAUGGUAUAAAGAGUUAGGAACUAAUUGAGGGAUUUUAUAAAGAGUCCCAUCUUUAUUUCGCCGUAAAAUCGUGUUUUAUGUAAUUAACACCACAGUUAAAACAAUAUCAAUUUUAUUGAUGUAGCGGCUUAAACAAUUCUAGGUUAUUAUAUAACAUUAGUUAUUAAACACAUUAUAAAUUA